GACGAACGCUGGCGGCGUGCUUAACACAUGCAAGUCGAACGGAAAGGCCCUGCUUUUGUGGGGUGCUCGAGUGGCGAACGGGUGAGUAACACGUGAGUAACCUGCCCUUGACUUUGGGAUAACUUCAGGAAACUGGGGCUAAUACCGGAUAGGAGCUCCUGCUGCAUGGUGGGGGUUGGAAAGUUUCGGCGGUUGGGGAUGGACUCGCGGCUUAUCCGCUUGUUGGUGGGGUAGUGGCUUACCAAGGCUUUGACGGGUAGCCGGCCUGAGAGGGUGACCGGCCACCUUGGGACUGAGGUACGGCCCAGACUCCUACGGGAGGCAGCAGUGGGGAAUAUUGCACAAUGGGCGGAAGCCUGAUGCAGCAACGCCGCGUGCGGGAUGACGGCCUUCGGGUUGUAAACCGCUUUCGCCUGUGACGAAGCGUGAGUGACGGUAAUGGGUAAAGAAGCACCGGCUAACUACGUG
rnacentral:rRNA from 1 species